rnacentral:rRNA from 1 species
AUGACCACGGAUGGUGACGAUAAUUGUAUUAUACACGUGCGAGUGUCCUCGCCGGAGACUGGUGAGUGGAGCGAGCAGUGCCCUAGUCUUGAUCUUGGUAUGGAUGCAUUCAUCAGACCAGUGCCUCCUGUCCUCAUCCAAGACGCACUUUACUUUAUGCAUAUUCUUGGUGAAGAUGGUCUCAAAGAAGGAAUUCUCAAAUACGACGUGGACUCUAGUUGCUUAUCGCGGAUUGAUGCGCCAGCGCCACUGCCGUCGCCUGCCAGUGACGAUUCUACUAUCCUCAUGGCUAUGGAGGAUGGCAGUUUGGGUUUCGCACAAGUGGAUAUGUUAACUUUCUAUCUGUGGUCAAGCCAGAUGGGUUCCGAGGGUGUUGCGUCAUGGACUCAGCCUAGAGUAAUCGAUCUCAACAACCUUCUCCCCAUCAAAAAUCCUGAUAAAAUUCUUAGACUGAUUGGAUCAGUGGAGGGCAGGGAUAUUGUUUUCGUCACGACAGACCUUGGCAUCUACCAGAUUAAUCUUAAGUCGCUACAGUGGAAGAAGCUAUGGAAGAGAAAAAAAUUCCUUAGAUUGAUUCCAUACAUGAGUUUC